GACGAACGCUGGCGGCGUGCCUAAUACAUGCAAGUCGAACGAACUCUGGUAUUGAUUGGUGCUUGCAUCAUGAUUUACAUUUGAGUGAGUGGCGAACUGGUGAGUAACACGUGGGAAACCUGCCCAGAAGCGGGGGAUAACACCUGGAAACAGAUGCUAAUACCGCAUAACAACUUGGACCGCAUUGUCCGAGUUUGAAAGAUGGCUUCGGCUAUCACUUUUGGAUGGUCCCGCGGCGUAUUAGCUAGAUGGUGGGGUAACGGCUCACCAUGGCAAUGAUACGUAGCCGACCUGAGAGGGUAAUCGGCCACAUUGGGACUGAGACACGGCCCAAACUCCUACGGGAGGCAGCAGUAGGGAAUCUUCCACAAUGGACGAAAGUCUGAUGGAGCAACGCCGCGUGAGUGAAGAAGGGUUUCGGCUCGUAAAACUCUGUUGUUAAAGAAGAACAUAUCUGAGAGUAACUGUUCAGGUAUUGACGGUAUUUAACCAGAAAGCCACGGCUAACUACGUGCCAGCAGCCGCGGUAAUACGUAGGUGGCAAGCGUUGUCCGGAUUUAUUGGGCGUAAAGCGAGCGCAGGCGGUUUUUUAAGUCUGAUGUGAAAGCCUUCGGCUCAACCGAAGAAGUGCAUCGGAAACUGGGAAACUUGAGUGCAGAAGAGGACAGUGGAACUCCAUGUGUAGCGGUGAAAUGCGUAGAUAUAUGGAAGAACACCAGUGGCGAAGGCGGCUGUCUGGUCUGUAACUGACGCUGAGGCUCGAAAGUAUGGGUAGCAAACAGGAUUAGAUACCCUGGUAGUCCAUACCGUAAACGAUGAAUGCUAAGUGUUGGAGGGUUUCCGCCCUUCAGUGCUGCAGCUAACGCAUUAAGCAUUCCGCCUGGGGAGUACGGCCGCAAGGCUGAAACUCAAAGGAAUUGACGGGGGCCCGCACAAGCGGUGGAGCAUGUGGUUUAAUUCGAAGCUACGCGAAGAACCUUACCAGGUCUUGACAUACUAUGCAAAUCUAAGAGAUUAGACGUUCCCUUCGGGGACAUGGAUACAGGUGGUGCAUGGUUGUCGUCAGCUCGUGUCGUGAGAUGUUGGGUUAAGUCCCGCAACGAGCGCAACCCUUAUUAUCAGUUGCCAGCAUUAAGUUGGGCACUCUGGUGAGACUGCCGGUGACAAACCGGAGGAAGGUGGGGAUGACGUCAAAUCAUCAUGCCCCUUAUGACCUGGGCUACACACGUGCUACAAUGGAUGGUACAACGAGUUGCGAACUCGCGAGAGUAAGCUAAUCUCUUAAAGCCAUUCUCAGUUCGGAUUGUAGGCUGCAACUCGCCUACAUGAAGUCGGAAUCGCUAGUAAUCGCGGAUCAGCAUGCCGCGGUGAAUACGUUCCCGGGCCUUGUACACACCGCCCGUCACACCAUGAGAGUUUGUAACACCCAAAGUCGGUGGGGUAACCUUUUAGGAACCAGCCGCCUAAGGUGGGACAGAUGAUUAGGGUGAAG
rnacentral:rRNA from 1 species